UACGAACCGUGCAAACGUUGUUCGGAAUCACUGGGCUUAAAGGGCGCGUAGGCGGCUUAUCAAGUCGGGGGUGAAAUACUUCAGCUUAACUGGAGAAGUGCCUUCGAUACUGGUGGGCUUGAGGGAGGUAGGGGUCUGUGGAACUUCUGGUGGAGCGGUGAAAUGCGUUGAUAUCAGAAGGAACGCCGGUGGCGAAAGCGACGGACUGGACCUCUUCUGACGCUGAGGCGCGAAAGCUAGGGGAGCAAACGGG
rnacentral:rRNA from 1 species